rnacentral:piRNA from 4 species
UCGUGGGGGGCCCAAGUCCUUCUGAUCGAGGC